rnacentral:sRNA from 1 species
CGUGGCUAUAGGGCGAACAAUCCAAGAAAAUUCCGACAAGUGUUGCUGGUCGAGUUUUUGCCCUUGUGUCCCACAUACUUGACAAAGCCAAGGACGGUCUAACUGUCUCAAAGCUCAUUGAAAAUGCCAAACAAGUUGAAGCUUUGUCGAAACAGUUGCCAGGAAAGGUCUCAAAAAGCGAAGUUAAAAAACUUGUGAACGAAAUUUCUAAAGAAAUCGGAGUGAAUCCUGCUGCCUCUUUAGCUUUGGAAGGUAAA